UUAUUCAUGCAGGGAUCCCAGAAUCAUGCGAUGUUGACACAUCAUAACCAAGUCAUAGCUUUUAACUGACCCAAAGGGAGGAUGUACAGUAUGUAGAACUCAUUGCCUUUUUUGGUUCUCAUAUAGGUUUGCAUGUAUCUUAUGAUACGACAACAAAUUAUAUGUGGAUCUCCAAACUACGGCUUGUGGAAACCCGGGCCUCCAGGGAGCCAAGUUUGAAAACCACUAUGCUCCGUGGUUAUACUUCAACUGUACACAUCAUUUGCAAGCAGACAUGCAUGCUGUAAUGGUGUCCGUGCAGGCAGUGUGCUCCUGCUUGAAGACAGUCACAAUGCCCGCCUGAGAUCACAUUCUAACGUGAAGCCUACCCGUCUGCGCGUGCAUGCGAAGCGCCGACGCACCUCCAGC